AACGCGAAGAACCUUACCCGGGCUCGAACGGCAGCUGAAUGGAUCAGAGAUGGUCCAGUCUACGGACAGUUGUCGAGGUGCUGCAUGGUUGUCGUCAGCUCGUGCCGUGAGGUGUCGGCUCAAGUGCCAUAACGAGCGCAACCCUUGCCGUCAGUUACCAUCAAGUAGUGUUGGGGACUCUGGUGAUACUGCCACCGCAAGGUGUGAGGAAGGUGGGGAUGACGUCAAAUCAGCACGGCCCUUACGUCCGGGGCUACACACGUGUUACAAUGGCGCAUACAGAAAGCAGGCAUUCCGCAAGGCGUGCCGAAUCAGUAAAAUGCGUCGUAGUUCGGAUUGGGGUCUGCAACUCGACUCCAUGAAGUCGGAAUCGCUAGUAAUCGUGGAUCAGAAUGCCACGGUGAAUACGUUCCCGGGUCUUGUACACACGC
rnacentral:rRNA from 1 species